ensembl:miRNA
CAAGGCCUGUCUAUCUAGAUUCUUCUUGGCCUCUCUGAGCAUGCAUUCCUGAGACUCCAAGAAGAAUCUAGACAGACAGGCCUUG